rnacentral:rRNA from 1 species
UAUUUCACAAUGGGGGAAACCCUGAUGCAGCGACGCCGCGUGAGUGAAGAAGUAUUUCGGUAUGUAAAGCUCUAUCAGCAGGGAAGAUAAUGACGGUACCUGACUAAGAAGCCCCGGCUAACUACGUGCCAGCAGCCGCGGUAAUACGUAGGGGGCAAGCGUUAUCCGGAUUUACUGGGUGUAAAGGGAGCGUAGGUGGCAGGGCAAGUCAGAUGUGAAAACCCGGGGCUCAACCCCGGGAGUGCAUUUGAAACUGUUGAACUAGAUUGCAGGAGAGGUAAGUGGAAUUCCUAGUGUAGCGGUGAAAUGCGUAGAUAUUAGGAGGAACACCAGUGGCGAAGGCGGCUUACUGGACUGUAAAUGACGCUGAGGCUCGAAAGCGUGGGGAGCAAACAGG